rnacentral:piRNA from 1 species
CAGCAAAGGCACUGUAAGGGUCAUG